rnacentral:rRNA from 1 species
UACGUAGGGUCCGAGCGUUGUCCGGAAUUAUUGGGCGUAAAGGGCUCGUAGGCGGUCCGUCACGUCGGGAGUGAAAACUCAAGGCUCAACCUUGAGCGCGCUUCCGAUACGGGCGGACUAGAGGUAUGCAGGGGAGAACGGAAUUCCUGGUGUAGCGGUGGAAUGCGCAGAUAUCAGGAAGAACACCCGUGGCGAAGGCGGUUCUCUGGGACGGUACUGACGCUGAGACGCGAAAGCGUGGGGAGCGAACAGG